GAGGGUACAGCUCAGUGGUAGAGCGCAUGCCUAGCAUGCAUGAGGUCCUGGGUUCAAUUCCCAGUGCCUCUG
rnacentral:tRNA from 1 species